rnacentral:lncRNA from 1 species
AAUCCUGUUUUGCUCUGUUUCGGCCGGACCCUUUCCUCUCUUUUUCGGCCACCGACGCCGUCGAUUGCGGCGUCUCAUCCUUAGGAUAGGACCCUCAUCCCUCUAUCCCUUUUCUUUGAAGGUCUUGGCCGUCGGUGACCGGCCAAUAACCGAAAGUCAUGAAGAAAGGGGACAGAUCCCCUGUUUUUCGAAAAAAAAAAAACUUCACCGACCGAACCUUGCUGUC